UACAGAGGGUGCAAGCGUUAAUCGGAAUUACUGGGCGUAAAGCGCACGUAGGCGGUUUUUUAAGUCAGAUGUGAAAGCCCCGGGCUCAACCUGGGAAUUGCAUUUGAAACUGGGAAACUAGAGUGUGUGAGAGGGGGGUAGAAUUCCAAGUGUAGCGGUGAAAUGCGUAGAGAUUUGGAGGAAUACCAGUGGCGAAGGCGGCCCCCUGCACAACACUGACGCUCAGGUGCGAAAGCGUGGGGAGCAAACAGG
rnacentral:rRNA from 1 species